rnacentral:lncRNA from 1 species
GGAUGUCUCCUUCUACCCAUGGCAGAAAGACUCUUCAUGCAAAGAAUCACAUGAGUUUCAAUCUACACGCACUACUUCUCUUCUAGAUAAUUUUGAAUGCCCAUUCAACCAAUCCAAGCCAAUUCAGACAUCAAGAGUAGUGCCAAAGGAGAUGGAAGGAAGAUAUGGGUGCCAAAUGGGUCUUAAACCCAAAGCAGGACUCUUGCCCUUCUCCACGC